rnacentral:rRNA from 1 species
GAUGAACGCUGGCGGCGUGCUUAACACAUGCAAGUCGAACGGAACUCUUAUCGAAAGCGGCUUCGGCCAAUGGAGGUUUGAGUUUAGUGGCGGACGGGUGAGUAACGCGUGAGCAACCUGCCUUUCAGAGGGGGACAACAGCUGGAAACGGCUGCUAAUACCGCAUAUUGUACACUGGUCGCAUGGCCGGUGUAUGAAAGAUUUAUCGCUGAAAGAUGGGCUCGCGUCUGAUUAGCUAGUUGGUAAGGUAACGGCUUACCAAGGCGACGAUCAGUAGCCGGACUGAGAGGUUGAACGGCCACAUUGGGACUGAGAUACGGCCCAGACUCCUACGGGAGGCAGCAGUGGGGAAUAUUGGGCAAUGGGCGCAAGCCUGACCCAGCAACGCCGCGUGAAGGAAGAAGGCUUUCGGGUUGUAAACUUCUUUGACCAGGGAAGAAAAAAAUGACGGUACCUGGAAAACAAGCCACGGCUAACUACGUGCCAGCCGCCGCCGUAAAAC